rnacentral:rRNA from 1 species
UACGGAGGGUGCAAGCGUUGUUCGGAAUUAUUGGGCGUAAAGGGCGCGUAGGCGGUGCGGUAAGUCACCUGUGAAAUCUCCUGGCUCAACUGGGAGCUUGCAGGCGAAACUGCCGUGCUGGAGUGUGGGAGAGGUGCGUGGAAUUCCUGGUGUAGCGGUGAAAUGCGUAGAUAUCAGGAGGAACACCUGUGGCGAAAGCGGCGCACUGGACCGCAACUGACGCUGAGGCGCGAAAGCUAGGGGAGCAAACAGG